rnacentral:rRNA from 1 species
CGGGGUGAGUAAUGUCUGGGAAACUGCCUGAUGGAGGGGGAUAACUACUGGAAACGGUAGCUAAUACCGCAUAACGUCUUCGGACCAAAGCGGGGGACCUUCGGGCCUCACGCCAUCGGAUGUGCCCAGAUGGGAUUAGCUAGUAGGUGGGGUAAUGGCUCACCUAGGCGACGAUCCCUAGCUGGUCUGAGAGGAUGACCAGCCACACUGGAACUGAGACACGGUCCAG